rnacentral:misc_RNA from 1 species
ACUCCUAAUGGGAUAUAAGCUGGUGGCACAAUCAAAAAUCCCUUUGUACUGGUUUGCUGGUCCCUGAACCAUUAAUCUAGUUUUUACCACAUCAAGGGGAUUAGUUAGAGCUCCAGUUAUUGCACCAGCAAAAGCACCAAUUAUAGCAAUCUCAUGAUCUUUCAGAUCUCUUCGUGCCACCAGCUUAUAUCCCAUUAGGAGU